rnacentral:ncRNA from 16 species
AUCCGCCCCUUGCCGUCCGGUCGACGGGACGUUAUCGCGCGCCUGCGUUUCGGUAACGGGAAUGCGGUUUGAAUCCGCAGCUGUCCCUGCAACUGUAAGCGGUGAGUGCGGGGUGCGCUCCCUUUUCGAAGGGCAGCCACUGGGGGUCUUCGGACCAUCCGGGAAGGCGAGCAUCCCAUGCGUUGAUCCGUGAGCCAGGAGACCGACCGGGGCGUGUCGCUCUUUG